UUUCCGUAGGUGAACCUGCGGAAGGAUCAUUAUCAUGUAAUUCAGUCCCCUUGGCUGUGUUAUAUAUAUACCCACUCUGUGUACCUUCUCCUGUUGCUUCCGCUGGGUGUGUAAUUCGCCCGGCGGAAGGGUAAAAAUAACCUCCGAGUGUUGAUGAAAUCUCUGUCUGAACCGAAUAGAAAGAAAAAUGUUAAAACUUUCAGCAACGGAUCUCUUGGUUCUCACAUCGAUGAAGAACGCAGC
rnacentral:misc_RNA from 1 species